rnacentral:rRNA from 1 species
GACGAACGCUGGCGGCGUGCUUAACACAUGCAAGUCGAACGGAAGGGCCCUGCUUUUGUGGGGUGCUCGAGUGGCGAACGGGUGAGUAACACGUGAGUAACCUGCCCUUGACUUUGGGAUAACUUCAGGAAACUGGGGCUAAUACCGGAUAGGAGCUCCUGCUGCAUGGUGGGGGUUGGAAAGUUUCGGUGGUUGGGGAUGGACUCGCGGCUUAUCAGCUUGUUGGUGGGGUAGUGGCUUACCAAGGCUUUGACGGGUAGCCGGCCUGAGAGGGUGACCGGCCACAUUGGGACUGAGAUACGGCCCAGACUCCUACGGGAGGCAGCAGUGGGGAAUAUUGCACAAUGGGCGGAAGCCUGAUGCAGCAACGCCGCGUGCGGGAUGACGGCCUUCGGGUUGUAAACCGCUUUCGCCUGUGACGAAGCGUGAGUGACGGUAAUGGGUAAAGAAGCACCGGCUAACUACGUG